rnacentral:rRNA from 1 species
AUGGCACCGAAGCGGAAGGGUGGCAAUGGGCGGCAGAAGACCAUCAUGCGGCGGGUCGAGAAGGAGGGCGCCCGGCAGGUGUGCUUCGCCAAGCGCCGGCAAGGUCUGUUUAACAAAGCCAAUGAGCUGGCGGUGAUGUGCGGCGCCGAGGUAGCCGCCAUUUCCUACUCACCCGGAGUCCUGAGCGCCACCGACAAUAACAAGCUGAAGAAUUUGCACCUGCAGCACGGCGAGCUACGCACGCAGCUGAAGGAGGUGAAGAUGCGGAAAGAGUGCAUAGAGGAGGCCAUGGCAAAGAAAUGUGUCGUGGGGGACCAGAUUGCGGUCUGGCUUAACCCAAAACUAGGUGACAUGAGGGAGGAGGAGAUGAUGGCCUUCGCCGCCAAGCUGAUGCCGGUGCGGGCCGCCAUCUCUGAAUGCGCAAACCAGGUACUCCUGGACCUGGGGAUGGAGAACAUCCUUCGCGCGCUCCAGGCGCCUGGGGUGCCACUGCCGCAACAGCUGAUCGGUGGAAGUACCUUUGAGUUUGGUAGCACCAGCACCAACACUAGAAUGGAGAUGCAGCAGAUGCAUAUGGCGAUGCCUCCAACUCGAGGAUUCGCCAUAGGGAUGGAUAUGCACCAUAUGCCAAUGGCGAUGCCUCCGCCGGGCUUGGCUUAUGGCAUGAAUAUGCAGCAGAUUCUUAUGUCGAUUCCUCCACCAUCCGGGUUUGGCGCUGGGAUGGAGAUGCAACAGAUGGUUAUGGUGAUGUCGCCGCAACCAGAAUUCAUCGCCGGGACGGAGAAGCAACAGGUGACUAUGGCGAUGCCGCUGCCGGAGUUCCCUGCUAAUGUGGAGAUGCCGCCACCCAUGGGGAUUGCCGCUGGGACAGAGAUGGUGCAGCAGGCGACCGGGACGAACAUGGGGUUCCCAUACUGA